UCCCUGGUGGCUCAGAUGGUAAAGCGUCUAUCUACAGUGUGGGAGACCCGGGUUCGAUCCCCGGGUUGGGAA
rnacentral:tRNA from 1 species